rnacentral:rRNA from 1 species
UACAGAGGUCUCAAGCGUUGUUCGGAUUCAUUGGGCGUAAAGAGCGUGUAGGCGGCCAGGUAGGUCUGCUGUGAAAACUCGAGGCUUAACCUCGAGCUGUCGGCGGAAACCAUCUGGCUAGAGUCCGGAAGAGGAGAAUGGAAUUCCCGGUGUAGCGGUGAAAUGCGCAGAUAUCGGGAAGAACCCCCGUGGCGAAGGCGGUUCUCUGGGACGGUACUGACGCUGAGACGCGAAAGCGUGGGGAGCGAACAGG